rnacentral:lncRNA from 10 species
CUGUAAUCCCAGCUACUCUGGAGGCUGAGGGAGGAGAAUCAUUUGAAACUGGAAGGUGGAGGUUGCAGUGAGCUGAGAUCAUGCCACUGCACUCCAGCCUAGGCAACAAGAGUAAAACUCCAUCUCAAAAAAAAAAAGAAAAAGAAAAAGAAAAGCCAACCUACCUAACAUAUGAAAUUGCAUUUUAAAAAACAACAAAAACAAAACAAAAACAAACAAAAAAGAAAUUGUAUCAAAUAGAUGAGCCAGAAAGAAAUUUAUCUCAUAUAAAGGUAAGUAAUACUUGAAAAUAAACCUGCACAGUGUUCAUGCACAAACACUUCAAGAAAAGGAGAAAUGGAACAAGCAGAAACAAUUAGCAGAUAAAAACCACUCAACAGGAAAGAAUGAAUCAGCUGAGCACAUGAAAAAUGUGACCAAAUAUACUGUCAUAACUCAAAGAACUUAAGGAAAUAGAGUUCAUAAAGAAAUGUAGUUGAUCAGAAACACCAUAGCAAAACAACCAAAGGAAAUGCAACAUAAGCUAACAAAGUUCAGAAAAGAAAUGAAAAGGAAAAAAUAAUCAACCAAAACUGUGCAGUAGAGGAAAAAAUACACUAAUUGGAUAUUGUUCACAGCAAGGAGUCAACAGAUAGGAUCUAUAUAUAUAUAUAUAUAGACUUUAAAAUUAAAUAUAAUUCAAAAUCAUAGUGAAGGAAAAAACCAUUAGCACAACAAGUGAACUAUAGCAAAUGUGAAUAACAUAAUGCAAGUGUAGUAUACAGCAUACAUUGCUGAUUAUGUAUCCAUUAUCCAUGCCCUCACUAUCCAAAAUGAUGAUUUUGGUCAUAUAUCCUUCUUUUCCACAGAAUCAUGUGCUUUAGGGCAGUGGUUCUUAACUAGGGUCAAUUCUUCCCUCACAAAAGACAUUUACUAAUGUCUGGAGACAUUUUUGACUGCCACAGUUUGGAGGCGAUGCUGCUGGCAUUUAGGGUGAGGAGAUAUGUUCCAGGCCAAAGUCUGAUGUGUGAUCUUUCAGGCCUGACCAUAAGCAAUUACAAAGGCUUUGCCUGACAGGCUUUGUAGGGGAAAGGUGCCCUUCCCACAUGAGAUUUAAACACAGCCAGUCUCUGGAGGGAGUUGUAUCUGGUGCUCAGGACCCCCUGGGCUGGCCAUGUCUAUAAACCUAGCUGCAUUCCUAGACCAGGUACCUCCAUGCUGAGUCUUCCUUAUCAGGGGGCCUUGGUUGAGACACUUUUCAGGUGCCUCCACAGAGACCUCGCUAUUGGUGGGCCUUGACUGAGACACUCAUCUCCACUCUGACUCAGUUGUUUUCUACUUCUAACCCUUCCCUGCUCCCUGUCCGCAGUCCUUGAGGUCCAUAAGAUGGCAGGAACCUUUUGUUCAUUGCUCCUUAGCAGUGAAACAAUUUCCUCUGCCUGGACUGCAUGUCGUCUGAUUGACGCAUGUCCAGUGCUAGUCCAUGGUAGGGGAAAAAUGGAACAACAAGGAGCUGGCCCUACUUUCCUUUUUGGUCUCUUGCUUAUAAUUUUAUCAUAGUAAGUGAAUAAAGAUGUGAUUGUUAUUUUCAUUUCAGCUACUUACCUUAACUGACUCUCAACACUUCACAGCUAGGUACAGAGAUCCUACUAGACAUGCUGCUAUGCAUGGAACAGCUUCCUAUGAUGUAGAAUUUUAUGGUCCAAAAUGUCAACAGUGCUGAGGCUUUUCGGAAAAACUGACUCCAUCAUCUGCUCUAGGGUCAGUAAGGUCAUGGGAAUCUCCUGGAGUAUUCUAUUUAUCUAGGGGUGAGUAGAUGAUCAAAGAAGUUGGCUCAAUCACACUGAAGUAGAUGGCUUAAUAUUAAUAUUCCAGGAUUGGGACAGAACUUCCCUCAAUUUUUAUUGUGUUGGACAUGAACAAAAAAAAUAUGUAGUCCUCACUGAAACCGACAGCAAUUAUUGUUAACACGAGAGAAAACAACUUUGGGAUAAAGUUUAUACUAUGCCAGAGGUGACAAGGGAGGUCACUUGGGCUUUUGAUGACAAUAUGGCUAAUGCAACUGUGGCUGAAGCAGAAAGAUUUCUUGA